rnacentral:rRNA from 1 species
UACGUAGGGUGCGAGCGUUGUCCGGAAUUAUUGGGCGUAAAGAGCUUGUAGGCGGUUUGUCGCGUCUGCUGUGAAAAUCCGGGGCUCAACCCCGGACUUGCAGUGGGUACGGGCAGACUAGAGUGUGGUAGGGGAGACUGGAAUUCCUGGUGUAGCGGUGAAAUGCGCAGAUAUCAGGAGGAACACCGAUGGCGAAGGCAGGUCUCUGGGCCGAUACUGACACUGAGAAGCGAAAGCGUGGGGAGCGAACAGG